CCUACGGGCGGCAGCAGUGGGGAAUAUUGCACAAUGGGCGCAAGCCUGAUGCAGCCAUGCCGCGUGUGUGAAGAAGGCCUUCGGGUUGUAAAGCACUUUCAGCGGGGAGGAAGGCGUUAAGGUUAAUAACCUUGUCGAUUGACGUUACCCGCAGAAGAAGCACCGGCUAACUCCGUGCCAGCAGCCGCGGUAAUACGGAGGGUGCAAGCGUUAAUCGGAAUUACUGGGCGUAAGGCGCACGCAGGCGGUCUGUCAAGUCGGAUGUGAAAUCCCCGGGCUCAACCUGGGAACUGCAUUCGAAACUGGCAGGCUAGAGUCUUGUAGAGGGGGGUAGAAUUCCAGGUGUAGCGGUGAAAUGCGUAGAGAUCUGGAGGAAUACCGGUGGCGAAGGCGGCCCCCUGGACAAAGACUGACGCUCAGGUGCGAAAGCGUGGGGAGCAAACAGGAUUAGAUACCCCAGUAGUC
rnacentral:rRNA from 1 species